rnacentral:lncRNA from 1 species
UUUCACACAUAAGGAUUCACUAAUGGUAAAUGAUGGUCACCAAGUAAGUGUCAAAGCUCAAACACUACCAUGAAAGAGCCUGGGUCUGAGUCACAGGUCCACCAACUUAACUACCUAGAACUUUACUGACAUACUUGACUUUCCUAUCUUUGGUUUCCCCACCUGUAGAAUGGAUGAGUUAGACAUCUAGUAAGAUUUCUAUGAGGAUGAAUAAAAAGCUCCACACUCGUACUCAGCACAGAGCUUGGCAACACAUAACAACUAUUUUUAUGAUUAUUCUUAAUCUUCAUCUGAAGACUUUUGCCCUCAAAGACAUUAUGGAUCCCAAAUUGAAGUCCUAUUAGCUACAGUAAACUAUUCCCCUCUUCGGUUUAUGCCUAACAAAAGCGCAUCCAAAAAAAAAAAAAAAAUGCACCCAUUUCACAAUAAACAAAUCAAAUCACCUUAAAUAUCCUAAUAAGAUAUAUGAAUGUGGGUUUUAAUGACAAACUUCUUAAGGGGGUAAGAAUUGGCCAAUGGGUAAAUGAACCAGUUCUUCCCAAAUAACAAAGAGGAAAUAUGUUAUCUUUAAAAUAAUGCUUUAAAAGUGUCUGAAUUGGGGAUCCAUGGGUGGCUCAGCGGUUUAGUGCCUGCCUUUGGCCCAGAAUGUGAUCUUGGAGUCCCGGGAUCGGGUCCCACAUCGGGCUCCCUACAUGGAGCCUGCUUCUCCCUCUGCCUGUGUCUCUGCCUCUCUCUGUCUCUCAUGAAUAAAUAAAAUCUUUAAAAAAUAAAAAUAAACGUAUCUGAAUAAAGAUUGGUUAUUUUCAUAUGCAGAAAAGAAGGUAGAGAACAGGAAAGAAAAGAAGAAUAAUAAGAAAAAUAUAUUUGCAAAUGACAUAUCUGCUAAGGGGUCAAUAUCCAAAAUAUAUAAAGAACUUAUACAGCUCAAAACCCAAAAAAUGAAUAACCCAAUUUAAAAAUGGGCAUAAUGACCCAAAUGGACAUUUUUCCAAAGAAGACAUACAGAUGGCCAACAGACACAUGAAAAGAAGCUCAACAUCACUCAUCAUCAGGGAAAUGCAAAUAACCACAAUGACGUAUCACCUCACAUCUGUCAGAAUGGCUCAAAUAAAAAACACAAAAAUAACAAGUGUUGGCAAGGAUAUGGAGAAAAAGGAACCCUCACUGCACUGUUGGUAGGAAUGUAAAUUUGUGCGGACCACAGUAGACAACUUAGUAUGAAUCUCCUCAAAAUGUUAAAAUUAGAACUACCAUAUGAUCCAAUAAUUCCAGUACUAGGUAUUUACCCAAAGAUGAUGAAAAUACUAAUUCAAAAAGAUAUAUGCACCCCUACGUUUAUUGCAUUAUUUACAGUAGCCAAGUUCUAUCCAUAGAUGAAUGGAUAAAGAGGUGGUAUGUAUAUGCAAUGGAAUAUUAGUCACAAAAAAGAAUGAGAUCUUGUCAUUUGGAGCAACAUGGAUGGAUCUAGAGAAUAUAAAACUAAGUGAAAUAAGUCAGACAAAGACAAAUACCAUAUGAUUUCACUUAUAUGUGGAAUUUGAGAAACAAAACAAAGAAUUAAAGAGAAACAAAAAUACAGACUCAAAUACAGAGAACAAACUGGUAGUUUCCAAAGAGGAGGUGGCUAGGGGGAGGGGUGAAUCAGAUAUAGGGGAUUAAGAGAACACUUACUUUGAUGAGCACUGAAUAAUGUACAGAAUUGUUAAAUCAUUUUAUUGUACACCUGAACCAAUUACAACACUGCCUGUUAAUUAUACUUCAAAUGAAAAAAAAGGGAGGGGGGGAACACUACCUAGCAAAAGUGUGAAUCUGAAAGAUUACUUCAGCAUUCAAGCCAGAAUCCAUCUUAUUCCCUUUUUAGAUCGGGUUAUGGUACAGAUAAAUCAUGAGGAAGCUAGAUAUUCCACACUUUUCAAUGAUUUUUUUUGUUUUUUGUUUUUACCAAGAGAGAGUGAGCUAGUGAGGAGGAGGGAAGCGGAGGAGCUAAGGGAGAAGGAGAGAGAGAAUCUUAAGCAGGCUCCAUACCCAGCAUGGAGCCCAAUCUGGGGCUCGAUCCCACAACCCUGAGAUCAUGACUUGAGCCCAAACCAAGAGUGGAUGCUUAACCGACUGAGCCACCCUAGUGUCUCUGUGUCAAAUUUCUGGAGGCUCAAAGUCGAAGGUUAAGUGUCAGCAAGAAUGGUUCCCUUCAAAGACUGUGAGAAAGAAUCUAUUCCAUCCUGCCAUUCUAGCUUCCACUUGUUUGUUGGCAAAAUCUUUGGUAUCCGGUGGCUUAUAGGUCUCUAUAUUCAUCUUCAUGUGGCAUUCUGUCUAGGGUCUCUAAAUUUUUUAAGUGUUUUUAUUUCACAAUGCAGGGCUUGAACUCACAACCCCAAGAUCAAGAGUCACAUGAGCCCUCCACUGAGCCAGCCAGGCGCCCCUAGAUUUCUUUUUAAUCAGGCUACCACUGCAUUGGAUUAGAGGCCUACUGUACUCCAGGAUGACCUCAUCUUAAUCAGUUUCAUCUGCCACGACUCUAUCUCCAAAGUCACAUUCUGUGGUACUGGGGGCUAGAACUUCAAUAUGAUUUUUUUUUCAGUAACACAAUUCAACCCCUAACAGCUGGCUUUUUCUCACCAUUCAAGUCUCAGUCCAAGCAUCACCUCCACAGAGAGGCCUUUCCCAACCACCCCGUUGAAAGCGGCUCUCUCCCAGGCACUAGUCACUCUGUGUCUCUGCCCUAUUUUAUUUUCUUCAUAUGCUUACCGCUCCCAGAAAUUACCCUACUUGUUCAUUUGGUUUGGGUUUGUCUCUCCACGCUAGAAUGUAAACCCUAUGAAAUCAGAGACUCCGUCUUAUCCACUUGUCUCCAGAGCCUAGAGCCUAGACAUGUGGUGGUGGGUCAAUCAACAUCAGCUGAAUAAAUGAAUACAUGCAUUAAACAAACGUCCCCUGUCCAAUCAUAAACAUAAUGCCAGAGAGAGGCACAGCUAUGAAUGAAAAUAAAGUAAGCUAAGAGGAGAGACAAAGACGUGCUAUUUUGAAUAGGGUGGUGGGGAAGGCUUCUGAGAUGCAACAAUGAAGCAAACCAGAGCAGUUUCAAAGACAGUGAGGUUGACAGGGUGGUGGACAGCGUGACUGGAGCGAGUUCCAGGCAUGACCAAGAUUCGAGGAAGUAGAGGGACAGCGAGAGAGGAGGUGUGCCAUAAAGGAAGCUCCAAGUGAAGGCAUCUGCAUUUACUACCCUCUGUCUGGACCUUCAGCUGACAAAGCUCUUUGAUAUUCCUGGCCAAAUAAAGUUUUCCCUUAUUCAUGAAGUUUUCACAAGAGUCCUGAACCCCUCCCUCUCUGUCCCCUGGCACUUUGUUCUUACUUCUACUACAGCCCUUCCAGCAUUUCUGUGGAACUGUGAGUUUUCCGCCUUACAUGCGUCUUGCCCCCUCCAGUGAGCUCCUUGAUGGCAAGGACCCCAAAAUUUACUCUGUAGAUGCUGAAGGAAGGGAACUUGUGGCUGGUGCUCCUCCUCCCUGUGGAUGCUCCUUCUGCCACACAGACCAAACUUUUCCCAUUUAAAAACAAGCCUUUCGGGAGUGACCUCGCACAAAAUGCCAGAGUGGGAAGCUCCUUCCUCCACUGAGGAGGAAGGAGUGGCCAGAACCAGCUAUUUGAGAACUCUGGAACCUGGUGGACACUUAUGACAAGGAGGGCGUGCUUGGUGAGAGCAGAGGUUGCUGACCUCUGCCAAGUGAGCAGUGUAGGUGAACCAGCUACUGCCCCCAUUCCUCAGCCGUGGGGAGGGCAGCUCACAUUCCCAGCGUGGCUGGCCGAUGCCAGGUGGGCAGUGAGGGCCUUGUCUCCUCACAAUUUGAGGUUGUGCAUUGAGGUUGGAGAGCCUGUGCCCGUCACGGCUGUUACCAAAGGAUAUGUGACAGGAUAGGAACUCCCAUGCUGCUACCCAGAGAGCCCAAAAUGUUUAGCCACAUGAGAUUUACACACUCAUGUAUUCAUCUGCCCAACAAAUCCUAAAUAGCUUUUAUGUGCCAGGCGCUGAGGACACAGGAAUAAACAAACCAGACAAAAGCCCGAGUUUAUGUUCUGAUGGGGAAAGUGCUGGUUCACUGGAGCGCGGGGAGGGCAGAAGCAGGCAGGGGGGUAGCGUUCUUAUCUUGAGUCACUCCAGGCCCCUCCCCUCUGAUUGGGCACAAUAUCACUAACUCACAUUUUAUUCAGGCCAGGUCUCCUGCCCUAAUGGUAAAAACCAUGCAAGUUAAUUCCUUAGGUCUCUGGUUGCUUCUCAUCACCCUAACACCCAGGCCAGAGACUCAGAAGCCUAUUACUCAAAGUCUCUCGGUCAUGUCCAGAGACAAUCAUAUAUUAUCUACAAUAGUAAAGAUGAUAUUUUGUUUCUUUGUUUAAUUAGAGCUGUGUACCUAGAUUUUUUGUUUCUUUUUUCUUAAAAAGGAUCUCCAUCUUCCUGGGAUGAUUUAACUAGAUUCUUGCCUGAGGGAGAAGCCAAAAUCACUGUCCUCUAAAAGCUGACUUCCUGAUGUGCAUCUUGGUCUCAACAAGUCAUUCAAACCCUCUGAAUGUCAGUUUUUCCUGGUCUGGCAAGUGGGGAUAGUAACACACCCUUACAAGGCCAUGGAGAGACUUCAAUGAGUCAAGGACAUGAAAAUAAAUGCUUUGUAUCUGGCACAUAAAAAACACUCAAUAUACAUUAUUGAAAAACAAAAGGGGUGCUGGGGUGGCACAGUCAGUUAAGCUUCCAACUCUUGGUUUUGGCUCAGGUCGUGAUCUCACGGUCAUGGGAUUGAACCCCCCGCAUCAGGUUCCAUGCUCAGUGUAGAGUCUGCUUGUGAUUCUCUCUCCCUCUCUUCCUCUGCCCUUCCAACUUGUGCUCUCUCCCAAUCUCUCUCUGAAAAAAAAAAAUAAAUCUCUAUAAAAAAAAGAAAAGAAAAACAAAUCUUCCUGACACGCCUUUCAGCCAAUCAUUUUAUCAAAAGAGUAUGAUUACCUGUGAAAUCAUACAACCCCACAAACAAGUAUUUCAUUAUCACAGCACACCAAGCAACAAAGCAGAUUUGGAGGGCAGGGGAAGCAUGUUCCACUUUAU